rnacentral:tRNA from 1 species
AAGAGGCGUAUGAACAACCAGAACUGCUAACUCUA